GACGAACGCUGGCGGCGUGCCUAAUACAUGCAAGUAGAACGCUGAAGCGAGGAGCUUGCUCUUCUUGGAUGAGUUGCGAACGGGUGAGUAACGCGUAGGUAACCUGCCUUGUAGCGGGGGAUAACUAUGGGAAACGAUAGCUAAUACCGCAUAACAUUGGAUGACACAUGUCAUUUAUUUGAAAGGGGCAGUUGCUGCACUACAAGAUGGACCUGCGUUGUAUUAGCUAGUAGGUGAGGUAAUGGCUCACCUAGGCGACGAUACAUAGCCGACCUGAGAGGGUGGUCAGCCACACUGAGAGGGAGACACGGCCCAGAGGCCCACGGGAGGCAGCAGUAGGGAAACGUGGGCAAUGGGGGCAACACUGACCGAGCAACGCCGAGGGAGGGUAGAAGGGUGUCGGAUCGGAAAGGUCGGUUGUAAGGCAAGAACGGGCGUGAGAGUGGAAAGUUCACACUGUGACGGUAGCUUAUCAGAAAGGGACGGCUAACUACGUG
rnacentral:rRNA from 1 species